CCUACGGGAGGCAGCAGUGGGGAAUAUUGCGCAAUGGGCGAAAGCCUGACGCAGCGACGCCGCUUGAGGGAUGAAGGUCUUCGGAUCGUAAACCUCUGUCAGCAGGGAAGUACGGUCACUGUGCUAAUCAGCAGUGAAUUGCCGGUACCUGCAAAGGAAGCACCGGCUAACUCCGUGCCAGCAGCCGCGGUAAUACGGAGGGUGCGAGCGUUAAUCGGAAUUACUGGGCGUAAAGCGCUCGUAGGCGGUAUGUCAAGUCAAGGGUGAAAUCCCCGCGCUCAACGUGGGAACUGCCUUUGAAACUGGCAGACUGGAGUGUGUGAGAGGAUAGUGGAAUUCGAGGUGUAGGAGUGAAAUCCGUAGAUAUCUGGAGGAACAUCAGUGGCGAAGGCGACUAUCUGGCACAUAACUGACGCUGAGGAGCGAAAGCGUGGGUAGCAAACAGGAUUAGAUACCCUAGUAGUC
rnacentral:rRNA from 1 species